GACGAACGCUGGCGGCGUGCCUAAUACAUGCAAGUCGAGCGGACUUUCAAGAAGCUUGCUUUUUGAAAGUUAGCGGCGGACGGGUGAGUAACACGUGGGCAACCUGCCUGCAAGACGGGGAUAACUCCGGGAAACCGGAGCUAAUACCGGAUAAUAUCUUCCUUCGCAUGAAGGAAGGUUGAAAGGCGGCGCAAGCUGCCGCUUGCAGAUGGGCCCGCGGCGCAUUAGCUAGUUGGUGAGGUAACGGCUCACCAAGGCGACGAUGCGUAGCCGACCUGAGAGGGUGAUCGGCCACACUGGGACUGAGACACGGCCCAGACUCCUACGGGAGGCAGCAGUAGGGAAUCUUCCGCAAUGGACGAAAGUCUGACGGAGCAACGCCGCGUGAGCGAAGAAGGUCUUCGGAUCGUAAAGCUCUGUUGUCAGGGAAGAACAAGUACCGUUCGAACAGGGCGGUACCUUGACGGUACCUGACCAGAAAGCCACGGCUAACUACGUG
rnacentral:rRNA from 1 species